rnacentral:rRNA from 1 species
AGAGUUUGAUCCUGGCUCAGAUUGAACGCUGGCGGCAGGCCUAACACAUGCAAGUCGAGCGGAUGAAGGGGGCUUGCUCCUGGAUUCAGCGGCGGACGGGUGAGUAAUGCCUAGGAAUCUGCCUGGUAGUGGGGGAUAACGUCCGGAAACGGGCGCUAAUACCGCAUACGUCCUGAGGGAGAAAGUGGGGGAUCUUCGGACCUCACGCUAUCAGAUGAGCCUAGGUCGGAUUAGCUAGUUGGUGGGGUAAAGGCCUACCAAGGCGACGAUCCGUAACUGGUCUGAGAGGAUGAUCAGUCACACUGGAACUGAGACACGGUCCAGACUCCUACGGGAGGCAGCAGUGGGGAAUAUUGGACAAUGGGCGAAAGCCUGAUCCAGCCAUGCCGCGUGUGUGAAGAAGGUCUUCGGAUUGUAAAGCACUUUAAGUUGGGAGGAAGGGCAGUAAGUUAAUACCUUGCUGUUUUGACGUUACCAACAGAAUAAGCACCGGCUAACUUCGUGCCAGCAGCCGCGGUAAUACGAAGGGUGCAAGCGUUAAUCGGAAUUACUGGGCGUAAAGCGCGCGUAGGUGGUUCAGCAAGUUGGAUGUGAAAUCCCCGGGCUCAACCUGGGAACUGCAUCCAAAACUACUGAGCUAGAGUACGGUAGAGGGUGGUGGAAUUUCCUGUGUAGCGGUGAAAUACGUAGAUAUAGGAAGGAACACCAGUGGCGAAGGCGACCACCUGGACUGAUACUGACACUGAGGUGCGAAAGCGUGGGGAGCAAACAGGAUUAGAUACCCCGGUAGUCCAA